rnacentral:lncRNA from 1 species
GGUUGGCUGAUUUCUAUGCCCGGUCCGGACAAAGUUGCUGCAAAAAGCCAUUCGGUAAUCCGCUUAAGUGAUUUGUCUGAAGCAGCAAAACACCAUUUAAAGCAUCUGUCAACUUUACAAAAAGUUUACAUUUAACAUGAAAAUUAUCUGCGUUCAAAGAACAAAUAAUUAUACAGCCACAGGAUAUAUAUUAGCUAGCGCAUAUCAUUAUGUAUGUGAUACGGGGCUUUCCUUCAACGAAAAAUGGCACUUUUAAAGCUGUACUGGACUAUCCCUAACGAGUGCUGCAGUUCGUCACCUUUUAGCUGAAGCCGUAGCCUUGUAUUGAACCUUCGAACCACCCUGAUGACGUCACGCAUCUACCUAAAAACGGACUUCGCAACCUGUCACAGGCUGCUCGCGGUGCACGAAUUGGGCUGCUGUUUUGUCGCUUGACUGAAGUUUUGCCCUGCGAAGAAGCUGUGCGGAGGCGAGCCCGAUUGGGUUGACCGGUUGAAGGCUACAGGUCGUGUCAAGGAUGCGUUGAGGACAAUACGUGCUGGAUUCUUUACUCCCUACACGACCACUCGUAACAUCGAUCCUUGCAGACACGGUAGCGGUCUUGUCUUAGCGCAGUAGCGGUAGCGGCCAACACCCGCACAACGUUAAUUGAUAGACUGCAAAGGGGCUACGUGCGUCAAAAGCACCGAGAGGAAAUCCUACGUCGACGCAACGGGCGAAAAGCGGUCACGGAAGCGAUCAGCAACCUAACCAACAGCAUCAGUAUUGCGGCUUAUUUAUCACUUAGUCAGCUAGUUUCCACCAGAGCAACGCUACAUUGGCUGACCAUUGAGUGUCGGGGAGGUGAAAGGAUGGUAUCACUUUAAAGGUUAAAAAUUGACACUCAGUUCCAGUAUUUUGAGAUUGGGUGGUCAGGGCUAGGUAGAUCUAUGUUGACACGUGCAAGCUUUUUUUUUUUUAACAAAAACGGAUGUAAUUUACGAAUGAAUGUUAUUAUAAAUAAG